AUGCGUCUCUUUCAGGAAUUUUAUGAACUAGGCAGCAACUUUCACGCCAUCAAUGUAGCAAAUAUUGUGCUCAUACCUAAGAAAGAAGCACCAACGGAUAUCAGAGAUUUCCGCCCCAUCUCCUUGGUACACAGCUUGCCCAAGCUGAUAACCAAAGUGCUUGCUGCAUGACUGCAACGCCUCAUCCCAGCCAUGAUUCAUCCGCUGCAGUCGGGUUUUUUACCUGGGCGAUGCAUUAUUGAGAAUUUUAUGUUAGCAGCUGAAUUGGUACAGCAAGUAGACAAGAGAAAGAAACCUAUGAUCGUACUAAAACUUGAUUUUCGGAAGGCCUUCGAUAGCGUGAGUUGGGAUGCACUGCUCCAAAUCUUUCAGGCAAGGGGUUUUGGGAGCCGUUGGAACCACUGGAUUUCUAACAUUUUCACGUCAAGCUCCUCUCAAGUCCUUCUUAAUGGUCAGAUUGGGGAGAAGAUACAAUCCAAAUGUGGCCUCAGGCAGGGGGAUGCACUGUCACCUUAUCUUUUCAUACUAAAUGCUGAUGUUCUACAAAGGUGUUGUGAUAGAGAGCAUCAAGCUGGCCUGCUCAAACAUCCGCUCGGAGGGGUGGGACCGUUCCCCGUCCUAUAG
rnacentral:rRNA from 1 species